UCGGACGUGGUGCAUGAUGCACGCCUGCUUCUCAUGAGUGAAUAAUACCUGCGCAUACACCGGCCGGAAAUCUGGGUUCGACUCCCAGCGUCCGAA